UCGAAGGCAUUUUUUUUCCACUGUGUACCUUGGGGAUCCUGAAGAGGCUCAUGUCAUACCAUAAUUUAGUGUUAAAAGUCAUGAGUCACAAACCCAAGACAACUAUGUAAGUUUUUUGUUUUUGUUUUUUUUUUUAACCCCUGCCAAUGCUUCUACUUGCUAAGCAAGAGAAAGAGAGAGGUCCUUAUUUGCUCGCAUACCUCCUUGGCAAAUCUGGUGCUCCAUCUUCUGCUGCAGAAUAAUCUAGGUGCACACUCCCUGAAGGGUACCCAGAAGCAGCUGAUUCUGACACAGUCUUCUCUAAGACAGACUUCAUUUUCUCUCCUCCUGGGUCGGGGACACACACUCACACAUCCAGCUUGCGGUGUGAGGUGACACUGACCUGUCAGGCCGGCGGCCUCGGCAGACAGGAAGGCGCUCCAGGACAGCAGGAAAAACAGGCCCGUUUCCAGCAUGGGGAACUCGCACAGUUUGGUAAAUUUGGUCAAGUGACGAAGACACGUUAAGGGCAACAGCAACUGCUUUUACAGCUAAAUUUUAUUUUUGGCCGAGGCAACCUAACCCGGUGACAGUUUUAAAGUAAGAGAAUGGAUUUUUAGGCCUGACUGGGAGGACACAACUCUCAUGACGACCUACUUGAAGGCCGACAUAAGCACUAGGCUUCACUGGGGCUGAAAACUGCCUUGGAAAUCCAAAUGUGUCUUCAGAGAGAGAGGUGCCUUCCUAACAGGAUAAAAUCAGCUAACAGUGGGUAUAAAACCUCCAGAAUUGAGUCCAACCCCUGGGGCGUGCUCCUCAGGAGAACUGUAGCAGAUAUGGGAAAAUAAAACCCAGGAGAGCGUGGCUGGGGCGAGGUGCUGUAAGGGCAUCUACACCCAGGGAGGCCACUGGUCCCUGCGGAGUCCUAGCCUGAGGGCAGAUUGCCUUGUAGAGUCUUGGUUCUUGGGGAUGGAAACAGGAUCAGAAGAGCCUUCACAUUCUGGGACAGGGAAGCUGCCAAUGCCUGCUUGGUGUAAGGAGGAUGGGGAAGAAGGUGUAUUAUUUCUAGGCCAGGCGAGGUACCCUUGGGCAGGCAAUGAUUCAUUUUGGCCAGGAUGACACUUGGUCAAUAGUCUGCAAAUUGCAAAUAGGACAAAGGGAUAGUGAUCCAAGUUGGGCAGAGAAUGGGUUAUGGGGAGAUGAUCAGGAAUACAUGAUCGAUGGGAGAGGGUUACAUAGCAAUUGUGUACAUCUGAGGCAAAAAAACCCAUACCCUGACAAAGAAGGAGAUGUUAUCAUGUUGCAUUUUUAUGUUUCCAGAACAAAAUCUACAGAAAAUUCCACAUCAAGAGAUGGAUAGCAGCAGGCAGUGAAGCAGAAGUUUAAAUUCUGGGGUGGAAGAUCUGGGUCUGAGUCUUGACUCUGCCAGUAACUGGCUAUGUGAUUUCCAAGCACUAUGUUAACCACUUUGACCCUCAUAUCUAUUUUCUGUGAAUUUGCAAUAAGAAUAUUACCUGCUCUCACUGUGGGAAAGUAAAAUGAAAUGAAGUAAGUUAAAAAUGUUUUUGUAAAGUUUUAGAAAGCACAAAAUACUGAGAGACAGGUUAUUGUAGAGGUUAGAAGUAUGGGCCCUAGGAGCAGAAUGCCUGGAUUCAAAUUCUCUAUAAAAGGCUGGACAAGUCUUUUGACCACUCUGUGCUUCUAUUUUCCCACCCAAAAUGGGGCUAAUAAUGCAGCCUGUCUCACAGUUAUACAAACCAGUUAACAUGCAUUAAGUACUCAGAACAGUACCUGGUAUGCACACAGCAAGUGGUAUGUAAGCUUUUCUAUUGCUGUGAUUUAAAUUAAUUUGUUCUGUAAAAUAUUUUUACUGGAAAUGGAGCCAGUAAGGAUCUGGAAGCAAUUCUUAAUCUGGAGAAAAAAAUGUACUGCCGUCAGAAGUUUUGUUUCUAGUGGCAUUUCCUCCUCUGAGUUCCCUCUUCUAAUUUGUUUUAUACAGAAGGCUCAGGCCAGUUUGAGUAACAGGAUCUCAAUCGGCAAUAGAACACUCUUUCCUUUUAACCUCCUCCAGAAAGGAGUUCAGUUUUGGGUCAAUGCUCAAGCCCAUGCCCAGAGCCCAGGAGCCUACAACCUGGAGAACCUUUGCCUCAUUUUGUACCAGGAUCAGCAGUGCUAGAACUGGCCUUGAACAAGAAGAGAGCCUGGGUCCCUCUGCCUUUGGGACCUGUGCCUCCAGCGAUGAAUCAGAACCAAGAUGGCCCCAGGGACACCGUAUCACACUGGAACCAGACUAUCUCCCCUCAAGUUUGUUCACCCUCAGUAACAUUCCUUGGACAUUACCUGACUCUUAAUGGUCUCUAGCUUUUGACACACAGACAAAGGAUAUCAGGGCUGUGACAACAGCAUAUGCAGACCCCAUUGCAAAUGAGCCAGCGAAGAUUCCCAGGAAAUUCCCCACGGACUGGAAGAAUGCUGCAGCAUCAAAUGCAUUUGGAUUCUCCUUGGGACUGUAAAUGGAUAUAGAACUGAAAAGAGAGGAGGGUGAAGAUUAGUCAGUGACUUCCAUCUUACAGCCCAAAUACCAGAAGUCAGAAUUUAGUCACCAUUUUUGGGGAAGACACCUUUUCCUGUAACAUGGGUCCUGUUUGGAAGAGUUUAGAGGAAACUUAUUUGGGAGCAGGGGUGGGGGGCAGAGUUAUAGAAGUAGAAAGCUUUCCCCUUCCUUAUAGUUCAAUCCCAUGACAUCCAUACAUUGCUGCCAGUCACUAAACAUUUUUAUACUGGAGGAGUUGUAAAGAAUAUUGUUUCUGAGCAAACUAGACGUUAUAGUAUGGUAGGUGUAUAAGGAGUCUGCUGAGAAGAUAGAUAGCUGUGAAUUAUUUAGUGACCAUAUGUCUUCAGUGCUGUUAUAUAUUCACAAAUGCUCCUGAUAAAAAGUACACUUUUAUGGCCUAUGCACAAAUGGGUGAUACAAAUCACUGAGUGCACAAAAUAUUCUGCCGUGAUCUUGUCAUAAACCACAAAGCAUUCCUCUUCUUCAGUGUAACCCUUCAGAAACAGAGCCCUGAAGGUGUUCAGAGCAUCACAGUCUUAAACCCCAGGGAGAAACAAAACCCUCAUUUUCCCAUGGAAACAAAUGGCAGCAGCUGCCCGAUGUCAUCUUUUAUACCCCAAUUCUGGUGGCUGCCAGAAUUUUUCUGUACAGAAAAAAAUCAAUCCACCAAUAGGCAGUCUGCUCACUUAAAUAUUUUUGAGGAUGUCAUAUUUGCUAUGUUUUUUUUAACCAGGGCUUUGAAUCUCAGUGUGCUAAUAUCAAGGACAAGGAAUGCCCUAUUUUAGGAAAUAAGAACUCUGUAGGACAGCAUAAAACUAACAGAUGUGCUAGAACCAGUAGCUUUUGGGAGUCCAAUGAGGUAACAUUUCAGAUUUUUUUUUUUUUUUUUUUUUGCAGUUUUUAUUUAAAUAUGUGAAAUCUUUAAAACUAAUCAGGAAAAAAAUCAAGAAUUUGGCUGUGGGCUCUAGAAGGGAAGUGGUAGCAAUGUAGAGAGCAAAAAGUACACUAGACAAACCAAGUUGAGAUUAGAUUGGGUUUUACACAGAUGUAACUGAAUCUUUUAUGGCUUGGGUGACUAGAGCAUGUUAACUCUCUGACCUGACUUUCUGUAUCCAGAGACUAGUUAGGAGAGCACAGGGGGAGUAGAUUCCAAUUCUCCUACAGCAAGACCUGUAGCAUAGAAAAAGGUAGUUUUAAAUGUUCUUAGUUCUUCGCUCAAUGUCUUUAAACCCCUGAAGUAGGCCAAACACUUCUGCUUUGAUCCUGUAAUUGGAUAAGGAAGAUGAAUGUGGAUCUUGAAUGGAGCCCUGAAAUUUAUGUGAGAAAAGGACUGCCUUUGAAGUGUUUUUCUUUUUGUAAAGUGUUGUGCUUUGCAAAAACAGAAAAAAAGAAAGAAAAGAAAACCCACACUUGGGUCCUUUGUAUCCGACAGUCAUGGGAAACCAGGGUGUCAAACUCCAUGUCAUUAUAAAACCAGGUGCCCCAGGCUGCAAGGCUUGUUUGUUUCACAUUGACAUUCACCAGCACAUUUCUUCAUUUCAAUGAAGAAACAGCAGUGGUGAGAAAACAUUCCAUCUGCAUUCUGCCUUCCAAGCCAAGGUUUUGCAUCGUAACACAGCCUUGUAUAUAAUUCUGCUACCUGUUGAUUUGGACCACAGACCACCCAGGGGAGGAGGUCCAGGCCAGAAGACUUAUAAAGGUGGGUGGAGGUGAAAUCACUCAGUGCCUUCAAUCUUCUGUUAGGCAUAUAUAAAAGACCUCAUAUUUAUAUAGUACUUCUUUCACCUAUCAUAACUUCAUUUGAUCCUGUAUCAUCUUUAUGAGGUACACAGCAGGUAUUGUUAUUUCUCCCUUUCUUUCUUUCUUUCUUUCGUUUCUUUUUUAUAGUAAGAUAAACUAAGGAUCAGAGAAAUUGUGUUCAGCCCAAGAUACACAGCUAUGAAGUUCAAAAUGUAGAUUUCUUGUUUCUUCUUUAAAAAAGUGAUAUUGUUGGAAGGAAAACAGCCUGUAUCAGGAUACUUGGGUGACAGUGUCAAAUUGACUAUAAAGGAAAAGGGAGUUCAAAUAGCACAUCUUUUAUUUUCGUGUCUGGGAAUGGAACAUGGCGAGCACCCCUCUGUAUGCAGGGUAAGAGCAGAGUUCAUUCUAUGGAGCAGCAACAGCCUCCCCUCUCCAGGGAGGACUCGAGGCUUCUCAGGGAAACCUGCCUUCAUGCCUGGCUUCCUCUCCCAGAUCUUAAGUUUCUGCUGGGCUUGGCUUGGGUCUUGUUUCUUCUUGGAUGCCCAGGACAUAGCCUGGUGCCUGACACAUGGCAGCCUAUAUAAAGGCUGAGAGAAUGGAGGCAAGACGACUGGACAAUUGGAAGGAAAGAAAGAAGAAAUGCAGGAAGAAGGAAGGAUGGCAGCUUGAAAAUGCUAGUCAUCUCUUGAAAUGAAUCAUCAUCCACAAAAUUUUUUACUGGGCAUAUAGUGAGUACUUUGAGGGUCAUCAAUCCAAGCGUAAAGGUGAUACUUGAUCUUCUUAACAAUGCAUCAAAAAAUUGACACAUGUCUGUAUGGUCUUUGGCAAGUUACUUAAUCAUAUUCAGACUCAGUUUCAUCAUCUGUAAAAUGCAGAUAAUAGUUUUUAUCCCCAAGCAAUGUUGUGAGGAUAUGAGAUAUAUUUAAAACAUGUAUUUGUGUCUUGUAAGUUGCUGGCCCAUUCACUGAGUGCUUAACAUGUGCAUUUAAAACAACCACUCACUGAAUCCUAUCGUCAUCAUCAUCAUCUGCGAAGAAUUUCCACGAGCCCCCCAAGGAUGGAAACCAGAACACUGAAUCAGGCCUGGGUUCCAAUUGUGGGCAGAUGGGGCAUGGCUCGUCUCCCAGCAUACUAAACUUCAAGGUUGCUGGAGAGGAAUUGGUCACUUUUCCGUAAGAACAGCAGGAUCUCCUGGGAGAACAGACACCAGGCAGGCACCCCAGGGAAGUGGUCACUGGACUGAUGCUAAAAGAUUGUCACUUUUAGCAGCUCUUAGCUGGGGGGAUUAAGGCAGGAAGAGUAUCCCUAGCAGCCUGUAUAGGAAUCUGUUCCCAGGAAAAGGAACAGGCCUGGAGGCUCAGCUUGAGUUGCAUCUUCUCCCUUUUGGUGCAUAGCAUUUUAUAGGCAAAGUCCUCCGGCUUCUGGUGAGGAUGGAAGCCAAAGAAGGAGGAGACCUACCACAUGAGUUUGCACCUCCCAACAUUUUAGGAAGUCGUUUCUCCAGGUCUAACCCCUGGCAAACUGGGUAUCUCCUUAGACUCUCUGGUUUUGAGAUACAUUAGACUUCUGGGUUGGGAAACGACAACUACAGAGUAUAUAUUUUUUUGGAAACAAGCAGGUGUGGAGUAUUCAACUUCAACACAAGGAAGGAAUAUCAUUGUUCUAGCAACUUCAGUUCUUUGGACUUGAAGGGCAAACACCUCUUCCCCUCCCCCAAGGGAGAUUCUUGACCCAUUAGUGAAUGUAGAUGCAGGAGAGGAAUUAGAUUUCUGUUAACCUGUGUGGUGGUCUUUUGGGAAUAUUCUGGAGAGAACUGUUUGUAGCACAAGCUGGUGAAGAAGGAUCUACAAUCUCCAAAUUUCUGGUAAAGAA